rnacentral:rRNA from 1 species
GACGAACGCUGGCGGCGUGCUUAACACAUGCAAGUCGAACGAAGUGGCGAACGGGUGAGUAACGCGUAAUCAACCUGCCCUUCAGAGGGGGACAACAGUUGGAACCGACUGCUAAUACCGCAUACUGAAGGAGGGGAUUGCGUCUGAUUAGCUAGGUGGAGGGGUAACGGCCCACCAAGGCGAGGAUCAGUAGCCGGUCUGAGAGGAUGAACGGCCACAUGUGGACUGAGACACGGCCCAGACUCCUACGGGAGGCAGCAGUGGGGAAUCUUCCGAAAUGGACGAAAGUCUGACGGAGCAACGCCGGGGGAGUGAUGACGGCCUUCGGAUUGUAAAGCUCUGUUAAGCGGGACGCGGUACCGGAAUAGAAAGCCACGGCUAACUACGUGCCAGCAGCCGCGGUAAUUC